GAGUGAGCGGCAGAGCUCAAAUUUGAAAUCUGGCACCUUCGGUGCCCGAGUUGUAAUUUGGAGAGGACGAUUUUGGGGCCGCCCCUUGCCUAUGGUCCUUGAAAGGGGACUCCGAGAGGGGGAAAACCCCUUGGGGAUGGGAGGGCCGUUCCCUGGUGGUGCUCUUCAAAGUCCAGUUGUUUGGGAAUAA
rnacentral:rRNA from 1 species